rnacentral:rRNA from 1 species
CACUAUCGUUAACUGAAUACAUAGGUUAACGAGGCGAACCGGGGGAACUGAAACAUCUAAGUACCCCGAGGAAAAGAAAUCAACCGAGAUUCCCCCAGUAGCGGCGAGCGAACGGGGAGCAGCCCAGAGUCUGAAUCAGCUUGUGUGUUAGUGGAACGGUCUGGAAAGUCCGACGGUACAGGGUGAUAGUCCCGUACACCAAAAUGCACAGGUUGUGAACUCGAAGAGUAGGGCGGGACACGUGGUAUCCUGUCUGAAUAUGGGGGGACCAUCCUCCAAGGCUAAAUACUCCUGACUGACCGAUAGUGAACCAGUACCGUGAGGGAAAGGCGAAAAGAACCCCGGCGAGGGGAGUGAAAAAGAACCUGAAACCGUGUACGUACAAGCAGUGGGAGCACCUUCGGGUGUGACUGCGUACCUUUUGUAUAAUGGGUCAGCGACUUAUAUUCUGUAGCAAGGUUAACCGUAUAGGGGAGCCGCAGGGAAACCGAGUCUUAACUGGGCGUUAAGUUGCAGGGUAUAGACCCGAAACCCGGUGAUCUAGCCAUGGGCAGGUUGAAGGUUGGGUAACACUAACUGGAGGACCGAACCGACUAAUGUUGAAAAAUUAGCGGAUGACUUGUGGCUGGGGGUGAAAGGCCAAUCAAACCGGGAGAUAGCUGGUUCUCCCCGAAAGCUAUUUAGGUAGCGCCUCGUGAACUCAUCUUCGGGGGUAGAGCACUGUUUCGGCUAGGGGGUCAUCCCGACUUACCAACCCGAUGCAAACUACGAAUACCGAAGAAUGUUAUCACGGGAGACACACGGCGGGUGCUAACGUCCGUCGUGAAGAGGGAAACAACCCAGACCGCCAGCUAAGGUCCCAAAGUCAUGGUUAAGUGGGAAACGAUGUGGGAAGGCACAGACAGCCAGGAUGUUGGCUUAGAAGCAGCCAUCAUUUAAAGAAAGCGUAAUAGCUCACUGGUCGAGUCGGCCUGCGCGGAAGAUGUAACGGGGCUAAACCAUGCACCGAAGCUGCGGCAGCGACACUAUGUGUUGUUGGGUAGGGGAGCGUUCUGUAAGCCUGCGAAGGUGUGCUGUGAGGCAUGCUGGAGGUAUCAGAAGUGCGAAUGCUGACAUAAGUAACGAUAAAGCGGGUGAAAAGCCCGCUCGCCGGAAGACCAAGGGUUCCUGUCCAACGUUAAUCGGGGCAGGGUGAGUCGACCCCUAAGGCGAGGCCGAAAGGCGUAGUCGAUGGGAAACAGGUUAAUAUUCCUGUACUUGGUGUUACUGCGAAGGGGGGACGGAGAAGGCUAUGUUAGCCGGGCGACGGUUGUCCCGGUUUAAGCAUGUAGGCUGAUUGUCCAGGCAAAUCCGGAUAAUCAAGGCUGAGGUGUGAUGACGAGGCACUACGGUGCUGAAGUAACAAAUGCCCUGCUUCCAGGAAAAGCCUCUAAGCAUCAGGUAACAUUAAAUCGUACCCCAAACCGACACAGGUGGUCAGGUAGAGAAUACCAAGGCGCUUGAGAGAACUCGGGUGAAGGAACUAGGCAAAAUGGUGCCGUAACUUCGGGAGAAGGCACGCUGGUGUGUAGGUGAAGUCCCUGCGGAUGGAGCUGAGACCAGUCGAAGAUACCAGCUGGCUGCAACUGUUUAUUAAAAACACAGCACUGUGCAAACACGAAAGUGGACGUAUACGGUGUGACGCCUGCCCGGUGCCGGAAGGUUAAUUGAUGGGGUUAUCCGUAAGGAGAAGCUCUUGAUCGAAGCCCCGGUAAACGGCGGCCGUAACUAUAACGGUCCUAAGGUAGCGAAAUUCCUUGUCGGGUAAGUUCCGACCUGCACGAAUGGCGUAAUGAUGGCCAGGCUGUCUCCACCCGAGACUCAGUGAAAUUGAACUCGCUGUGAAGAUGCAGUGUACCCGCGGCAAGACGGAAAGACCCCGUGAACCUUUACUAUAGCUUGACACUGAACAUUGAGCCUUGAUGUGUAGGAUAGGUGGGAGGCUUUGAAGCGUGGACGCCAGUCUGCGUGGAGCCAACCUUGAAAUACCACCCUUUAAUGUUUGAUGUUCUAACGUUGGCCCCUUACCGGGGUUGCGGACAGUGUCUGGUGGGUAGUUUGACUGGGGCGGUCUCCUCCCAAAGCGUAACGGAGGAGCACGAAGGUUAGCUAAUCCUGGUCGGACAUCAGGAGGUUAGUGCAAUGGCAUAAGCUAGCUUGACUGCGAGCGUGACGGCGCGAGCAGGUGCGAAAGCAGGUCAUAGUGAUCCGGUGGUUCUGAAUGGAAGGGCCAUCGCUCAACGGAUAAAAGGUACUCCGGGGAUAACAGGCUGAUACCGCCCAAGAGUUCAUAUCGACGGCGGUGUUUGGCACCUCGAUGUCGGCUCAUCACAUCCUGGGGCUGAAGUAGGUCCCAAGGGUAUGGCUGUUCGCCAUUUAAAGUGGUACGCGAGCUGGGUUUAGAACGUCGUGAGACAGUUCGGUCCCUAUCUGCCGUGGGCGCUGGAGAAUUGAGGGGGGCUGCUCCUAGUACGAGAGGACCGGAGUGGACGCAUCACUGGUGUUCGGGUUGUCAUGCCAAUGGCACUGCCCGGUAGCUAAAUGCGGAAGAGAUAAGUGCUGAAAGCAUCUAAGCACGAAACUUGCCCCGAGAUGAGUUCUCCCUGAGACUAUAAGUCUCCUGAAGGAACGUUAAAGACGAUGACGUUGAUAGGCCGGGUGUGUAAGCGCAGCGAUGCGUUGAGCUAACCGGUACUAAUGAACCGUGAGGCUUAACCUU